GAAAACUCAGUCUCACACUUAAACGGUUUAUCCGUCAUCUGUUAGUCCUCAAUUCCCCAGAAGGCGUGAGCCCACUGUUUCUUACACUGCUUUGUAGGCGAGACCGUUCUGUGUUGGUUUAACACAGCAAAGUUUGCAGGGUGCUCGGGCUUUUGCAGCCCUUUCCGUGCCUCAGCUGACCUCAUUUCAACAGUAGGGUAUUUCAGUUGAUGUCAUCACCAUGGGGUCCUGGGAGGCCCUUUCUUUCCCAGCAUCUGGGACUUUCUGAUUCCCAUCCAGAGACUGCCUCAUCUGGGGAUCCAUCCCAUACGCAGACACCAAACCCAGACACUAUUGCUGAUGCCAAGAAGUGCUUGCUGACAGGAGUCUGACACAGCUGUCUCCUGAGAGGCUCUUUGAGCUAUAAGAGCAGCAUCUAGGAAGAUGAAUUAUAAACCAACUACAACAGGAGAGCUGGCUAUCUGAAGAAAAUGUCAAGAUAGCAGAACUAUUUCAGAAUGUAUGACGUCAGCAUGAUAUAAAGAUGUUUUUAAGGUGAAAGAGACACAAGGUUUGGAUGUGAUACAUCAUUCAGGUCCAGGUCACCCCAGCAAGGACUCACUUGCAAGGCAGUCAGCUGCUCAAGAUUAUGGUGGAUAUUUCUUCAAAUUCUUUCUGCUCAUUGUUGGUCUCCUUUGCAUUUUUGUUCUUGGCUUCAUCUUUGUCCAGUUUCACAAAUUCACUGAGAGUUAUUCAAAUGUUGCUGGAUAGUGAGGAAUGACUGUUCUUUAUUCACCUCUGUGGGGUCAGCAUCUGAUUCUCAGCAGUUUAAACUUGAAACAGAAAAAAAAAAGCAAACAAACAAAAAACACUUUUCUGCCAUCCUCUCUGGAGUGCAGAAGCAGCCCUUCAGGAUGGGCCAGUUCUUGAAGGUGGAGAUGCAGUGGUCCUUGAGAAACAGGUGCCAGGCCAGAGGGCAGUGCCAGAGUCUCCAAGACACUGUCACCACAACACUCUAUAUUGAACUUAAGAGAAAUGAAUGUAAAACUAAAGACUGUUAUGGCAUAGGUUGAAGAUGGGCUGAUUUUUUUCCUGAGAACAACUGAACAACUGAAUGUGUUACUUCUUAAGACCUUGAGCAAGGUGGUAUUGGUCUCAUUCUUAGAUUUUUGUUCAAUGGAAAACACUAUUGACUGAUGGUUCUGAAAAUUCUAUAAUAUAACAAAUAUGUUACAUUAUAGAAAAUAGGCAACUUAGAAAAUAGGAGGUGCUCAAUAAAUGUUAGUUGUUCCCAAAUAACAAUGUUUUGUAAGUGGGAUGUUGAUUAUUUUUAACCAUACUGGACUUCAUUUCUUCAGGAUACUAAAAUCAGUUGGUAUAUACACCUAUACACACACACACACACACACACACACACUGUUUUAUUGGUGACUAUAAGCAAAAGCAAACUGUUUCCACAUUACAUUCUGUUGAUAUACAAUUUAAGUAAUACAAAAAUAAUCUUACAAGUGUUAAUAUCAUAUUAAUUUCCUAUUUCUUUUAGUUAUAUCAUUUUCUUCCUGAAUAGGCAUAAAUCUAGCUGGGUUCCUUGAAACUUAAUAGGCUAAAAUAAGAUAUUUUCUUGUCUUGACUAUAAUAAACCAAGGAUGUUCUCAAUCUAACCCAGUUAAUCUCUGUGGUAGUUUAAAUGAAAAUGACCCCAUAGGCUCUUAUGGAGUGACAUUGUAGAAAGACUGGCCUUAUUGGAGUAGGUGUGGUCUUGUUGGAAGUAGGCCUGUUACUGGGUGUGGGCUUGAGCUCAAACUAGGCCUAGCAGAUCAGUUAGACUGGUUCUUUCCCAAAUGCUAUGGAUCAAGAUAUAAAACUCUCAGCUGCUUCUCCAGCACCAUGUCUGCCUGCACACUGCCAUUCUUCCCACCAUGACAAUAAUGAACUAAACCAAUGAAAUUGUAAGCCAGCCCCAAUGAAAUGUUUUCAUUUGUAAGAGUUGCUUUGGUCACUGUGUCUCUUCACUGCAAGAAAACCAUAAGGAUUUUUUUUGUUUUUUUUUUUUUUUUGGUUCUUUUUUUCGGAGCUGGGGACCGAACCCAGGGCCUUGCGCUUCCUAGGUAAGCGCUCUACCACUGAACUAAAUCCCCAGCCCCAUAAGUUUUAUUUUCAAAUUCGGACUUGCUUCAUUUUUUAUUUGACUAUUACAGGAACCACUUCGUCAUUCUUGCACAUAUUGUUAACUGCCUUUUAGUUUUAUUAAAUAAAAG
ensembl:lncRNA